rnacentral:lncRNA from 1 species
AUGCCAAAACCCGCUGAUGAGAUGCCAACCGUGCCAGUUCACCAGCGAGGGCAGUAUGACGUCUCCAGCUUCCUGAAGGUCAAGCCACUGGCUCUGGGGAUAUUGGAACUAUUGCUAGCCUUACUGGGACUCUGUUUGACAAUCUGGAAUGUCCAUUUUUCUCUUCUCUGGUCACCAAUCAGCUUCAUUUUAACUGGAGUAUUGACAGUCUCGGCAGCAAGAACAUGUAAACCAUGUCUGGUCAAAUCCUCACAAAUGCUCAGCUGUUUCAAUACGGCAGCAGCUGCUGUGUCUCUACGCUUUCAUUUUUAUUACAGUUGGGGUGUGAUCUGUUUUCUCCUGAUGGCCUGUGAUACUCUCAUCCUCAUCUUCUCUGUCACUGUUGCUUUGUCCUUCUGUUGCUGCUGCUGCAGACCAAAGUCAAGACGUGUCGAGAUCAGUUACAUGAACGCAGAUUUGCCUGUCAACCAUGUUGUGUUCAUGGGCCAGCCGGACCCGUCUGCAGUGGUACAGUCCUUUAGUUCAGUCAUGUAUGUGCUGCCUGCACCUGCACCUCUGCCAAACUACAGUCCGGUCCUAGAUAUACCUCCACCAGCCUACGACCAGAUCUCAGCUGCACCUCCACCAAACUACAGUUCAGUCCCAAGCGCUCCUCCACCAGCAUAUGAGUAUGAAGAUUUACAGACCAGAAGAUGA